CGUGCAGGAAGACGGCCCUACGGGUUGUAAACUGCUUUUUGUACCGGAAUAAACCCCCGAACGUGUUCGGGGCUGAAUGUACGGUAAGAAUAAGGAUCGGCUAACUCCGUGC
rnacentral:rRNA from 1 species